CGUGGUUGUUUCGCAAAAAGCCCCCUCGGUUUACAGGAAAUCAACCCGCAGUCCCUGUUUUAGUGGCACCCAGAGAAAACGUUUCACUUUUACAAAAAAAGACCUAUAGGCAUUUCAAUUCAGUCCGCAGUCCUUUCCUUCCUCUUAUCCACUCUGCGCCGGCGGCUACGCCCAUUCCGUCGUGCGCCGGCGGCCGCCGUGCCUCGCGCGGGAGGAUGGAGUGCGAUCGCCGGGAGGAUGGACGGCGCGGAGAGGCGCGCUCGCGCCCGAGCUCCUGUGCCCGCGCCUCGCGCCUCCUUGCACCGCUCCGGCGGCCACUCGCCACACGCUGUCGCCGGCGACCAUAAACAGCGACCGUCGCACCUCUACGCGCGCUACCCCGAGGCCCCAGCCACGCCACGCCGCCGUCUUCCGCAACCCCGGCCUCCUCCUCGACCUCGCCUCUCCGUGCGAACAAACGGCGUUGCCGGCGGCGGCCACGGCCACCGUGCUUGAGCUGACGGGCGCCGACCGCACGGGGCUCAUCUCCGAGGUGUUCGCCGUGCUGGUAUACCUGCGGGACGAGGAUGUGGCCUCCGCCGGUGUGGAGCGCAUCGAGGCCCGCCUCGCCCCCCUCCUCCGCGGAGACUCGGAAGCCAGCGGCGGCGCCGUGGCUGCCGUCCCCGCCGGCUCCAUCCCGCACGCUGACCGGCGUCUCCACCAGCUCAUGUAUGCCAGCGGCGACUAGGAGCGCGCAUUGCCAGCUCCCUCGGUGUCUGUCGAGAGCUGGGCCGAGCGCGGGUACUCGGUCUUCAACAUCCAUUCCACAAUCAUCUCUUGUACAGUGGCUGAGGAAGAUCCAGGAAAGCAAGAGCUGCGCAAGAGGGGGCAGGAUCAGGAAGAAGCACGGUGAUGGAACCUUAGCAGUAGACCAAAUGCAGACAUGUACAUAAGGGGAUCCGAUUACGAUUAGAUGAUGCAGACCGUGUCCUUGUCCAACAAAACUCAAUCGAGUGUUUGACCCGGAUUGUUCUUUUUUGCUAUAAGAAGGAAGAGUACUACGCUGGAAUCUCCAUCACGUUAAUUGUCGACGAAACAUCCAAUGUUUCCGCCGAGUUCGCAGCAGGAAGGAGCUCAGAGUUCGCCAAUGUCCAGAGUUUCAGAUACGACAGUCAAGAGCGUCACAGGAGGAAGAAGCUCCGAGUUCGCCGGAGGUACACAAACAUCCGUCCAGCACUCCAAUGUCGCCUACGGAGUCUACACCAGAGGUAUACUUCCACUUGACCCCUGUUAACAAGCGCCGUGAGCAGAGUAGACACCGGCCAGGUCCAACAUUUGAUUCAGCCAUGUAUGCACAGAGCGUCAAUCAUCAUCCAAAUCCAUACAUUGCGUUAAUUUUCAGACCCUCUAGGUGAUGCUUUUUCAUGUCUAGAAUUGACCCUCGAGGUGAUGCUUUUUCAUGUGUAGAAUUCAGCAUGUUAGGCAAGAGUGUUAAUCAAUCUACUAUAAUAUCAGACAUGAGAGACCAGUCCAAUUUUUCUUCACUACCUCGGAAUAAGGAGCUCAAGUCUGUAGUAGCAGGACUCAUAAGAAAAUGCAUUGUCAGAUAUAUGUAGUAGAAUCUGAAUCUGUUGAAUCUGAAUCUGUUAAUCUGUUGAAAGAUAAGGAAUCUACUUGAAAGAUAAUGACAAGAGAGACCAGUCCAAUUUUUCUUGUAAAGUGCAUGCUGUUUAAACUUUUAAAUGUUCAUGUCUACCUCUAUUUCUUUCUCAUUGAGUUUUGGUACAUUUGGUAUUGUUCGAUAUGCUAUCUAAUAUAGAGUGUGUGGCCCCACUUCAGUUGUUCAAUUAUUUUUCACUUAGCAGCGGGUGAUUGAUGGACCAAUUAUGCGAGCAAUGUCCUUAAUUUCAGAUAAGAUGCAAAACAGAUAACAUGGAUGAGCUUGAAUAACUGCCGAUAGUGUAGCUUUCUGCUGGACCAUAUAUUCUGCCCGGAGAAGUUUCAGUGACCAAUGGAAGCUUUGGUAUAUUUUUUUCAAGCAAAAGUAAUCGUCUAUUACCCAUGUCAGGUUUCGACUCAAAUUGUGGUGCUUCUGUUGGCAUUCCUUAUCUUUUAUGCCUGAUGUGAGUCUUAGUGCUAAUAAGAACUAUUUUUUCCAAACGGUAAAUCUACCUUUCCCCAUCAUGUGACUUAAAGCUAAUCUAUUCAUGGUUAGUUUUCCUUCCUGUACAAAGGUCAUCUGUUCCGGUACACUUUUUCUUCGCUUUCUUUUACUGUAACAUAGACCAUGCUCACAUCGUCGCAAAUUGUAAACAGAGACGGAAACGUGCAUACAGAUCUCUCAAGCAUGCAAUAUUUUUCCAGGGUGACAAAUUUUUACAUGGCUUUAUAUCUGAAGACACCUUUUGGUUGACUCUAUUUGUUGUAUAUAAGUUCUAUCCAAAUGUACCUUUGGAUGCUUAUACCAUAACUGAUGGCCCUGGAUAAGUUAUAUCUGAAGAUA